UAGGGGACCAGAGGGAGGGCAUUCUAAAUGACUCCUGUAGCCAGGAGAGAGUGCUCCUGUGUGGGGUAAAUGAAGGUUGCCUGUGUAUGGAGGUCACAAGGCCCUGGCCUUUCUAAAUGUUUCCCAUCAAUAGAGAACAGAGUAUAUAGUCUUGCCUGAAUAGGGGACCAGAGGAAGGGCAUUCUACAUGACUGCUGUAGCCAGGACAGUGUGCUCCUAUAAGGGGCUAAGUGCAGUGUGCAGUGUGCUUGUGUAUGGAGGUCAACAGGCCCUGACCUUUGUCAAUGCUUCCCAUCAAUAGAGAACAGAGUACAUAGUGUUGCCUGUUUAGGGGACCAGGGCAAGGGCAUCAUUUCAUGACUCCUGUAGCCAGGAGAUAGUGCUCCUAUAAGGGGUAAAUGCAGUUGUGCUUGUGUAUGGAGCUCAUCAGGCCCUGACCUUUUGUCAAUGUUUCCCAUGACUAGAGAAAAGGAGUAAAUAGUGUUGCCUGUUUAGGGGACCAGGGCAAGGGCAUCAUUUCAUGACUCCUGUAGCCAGGAGAUAGUGCUCCUAUAAGGGGUAAAUGCAGUUGUGCUUGUGUAUGGAGGUCAACAGGCCCUGACCUUUGUAAAUGUUUCCCAUGAAUAGGGAACAGUAUAAAUAGUCUUGCCUGUAAAGGGGACUAGAGGAAGGGCAUUCUACAUGACUGCUGUAGCCAGGACAGUGUGCUCCUAUAAGGGGCUAAGUGCAGAGUGCCUGUGUAUGGAGCUCAACAGGCCCUGACCUUUGUAAAUGCAUCCCAUGAACAGAGAACCGCAUAGACAGUCUUGCCUGAAUAGGGGACCAGAGGAAGGGCACCAUUUCUUGACUCCUGUAUCCAGGAGAGAGUGCUCCUGUGUGGGGUAAAUGCAGGUUGCCUGUGUAUGGAGGUCACAAGGCCCUGGCCUAUGCACAUGUUUCCCCAUGAAUAGAGAACAGAAUAAGUAGUCUUGCCUGAAUAGGGGACCAGAGGAAGGGCAUUCUACAUGACUCCCGUAGCCACGAGAGAGUGCUCCUGUGUGGGGUAAAUGCAGGUUGCCUGUGUAUGGAGUUCACAAGGCCCUGGCCCCCUGUAUUUGUCCCCCAUGACCACAGCAUUGUGUGUCCCCUAUACAGGGGACCAGAGCCAGGGCAGUCCCCGGCCUCCUGUACCCAGG
ensembl:lncRNA